GUAACACCCAUUGCGCCCUAAACUUUUGGUGCCACACGUAAAGCUGCCCGCUCGACAAGUGAAUAGUAAUGGAAGGCAGGCCGAGUAGAGGCAGAGGAGGCAGCUGGAAAAGAGGAGGCCAUGGUGGAAACGACAGUGAUCAUUUCGGUAGUGAACGCAGAGGCCGAGGCAGAGGAGGCCAACACCGCGGCCGGGGCAAAAAAGACCACCACCGCGGCCGUGGACGGGGAGGGAACACACAUGCAACGGCGUUCCGACACACGGACCAAGAUGAAGAGGACGACUUUCAUGAGGAGGAUCACAGGACAGUUUUCUCCAGGAGGACACUGGAAUCCAACUGGGGCCGUUAUGAGGACUCUGAGAAGCAGGAAGCAGGUGACGACAUGCCCACUCAAAGAGGCACCGACUACCACGUCCUUCUGGCGUCUGCAGGAGAUUCUUUCACUCAAUUCCGCUUGUCCGAAGAAAAAGGCUGGGAGAAGGACACAGUUUCAUGCAGUCAGAUGUCUGCCCACUUUGUGGACCUCGAAGCGCUGGCCAUAAGCCUGAAACAAGUGCCUCUACACCAGAGACUCAACCUGGAGGCUGAGCUGCUUCAGGUUUCAACACCAGCUGAGCUUCCCUCAAUGACGCCCAAACCGGCCACAUUCACACCUCCGCCCGUGGCUGCAAAAGUCCCUAACACGAACAACAACCCUAAUAUCGCGGAGUCUUUAAGCCUCUCUGCGAGCGCCGACUCCCAGGGUCCCUCGGGUGCCGCCGCUGCUGCUGCCGCCCCCCCGGAGGAUGACGUCGAUGAGGAGCUGGACCAGCUGCUCACUUUAGCGAAACCAGUGUGUGAUGUCUCAGGAGGCCAGUCUGACAGCACGGAGAGCGCUGCUCCACGACAGAAAGAGUGUGACGGUGUGACUGAGGCAGUGAUAGAAGAGAAGACGGAGGAGCGAAACGACGAGGUCUCACACCCCGUGUCUGCUCCUCGCAGGCAGGAAAUGACGGAGGAGGACCUGGAGGACUGGUUGGACAGCAUGAUCUCCUGACCAAACCUGCACCAGUGCCAACAACCGACACAUGCAUGGGGGCGUCGUCAAUGCCCAGGUUGCUGUUGAGGAUCUUGAGAAUGUUGCCAAGAAUGAUGCUGAGAUGUUCCGACGUCACCAUGGUGCAGCACUCGCCACUUGUAGGCGGGUUUUCUGGACCUUUUUCCCACCAGUAGGACAGUUGGAACAUGGCUUCUCCGUCCUUGGUCCUCUCAAUGUUCCAGCCCAUAGCCAGCAUGCUCUUCAACGACUCCCUCACCGGCCACCGGUAUGUUUCUUUCUCCUACCACAAACAAGCCACCUUUUAGAUGACUUGCAUUCAUGACUGACCGCUGCUGUACUGCAUGUAAGAAGGUGUGUUCUUUGUUUGAAUGUGCACGUACCUUCUCGCUAAGAGCUUUGUAAGGCUUGAGGAGCGGAUGUUUUUUGCCGUGUUCGUCCAUACUUUCUCCAUGUUUCCAGCCUGCUGACACCUAGAGCAGCCAGUACGUCUUCACGGUCAUGCAUCUCUACUACUCAUCACAAAUGCUACACAAACCUUCUCCGAUGACCACUUCUCAUGGGAAUGCUCUGCAUAUUUGUUGGCAAUGUACUCAAGUUUUUCAGGUAGGGAGAUACUGCAAAAUAGGGAGUUUUAUAUUAUUUGAUUAUGAUGAAAUUUGUAUCUUGUAAACACUGUAAGCUGGAUGUUCACUAAAUGCUUUAUUGGCCUAUUGGUUUUAAUAGUCAUAUAAAUGACACUCUGUUUUAUAUUUGUGACGGACUUCCAAGCGCUUACUUGGCAGUGUUUAUUGGUUUGGGGUCAAAGUUCCCCUGUGCGUCAAUGGAAGCAUGGUUCUCCAGUGUUGCUCCCAAACUGGCAUCCACAAAGUCAGGAGGCAAGGCUCCAGCAAUGGCGCAAAGGCAUGAGUUGGCCAUUUUGAACAGGUCAGCAUCAUACUUCUACAAGAAAAGAGGACACACAACUGUUGUACGAGGCAUAUACAGGUCAGAGCAGAGGGUAGCGUUGGGCUGUCACAGACUUUUAAAUGAUUAAUUUGUUUCAGCAGCAUCACACGUUGCUAGUUCACUGAACUUUCCUCACUUGCUCUGAUUUUGCAGACCCAAAACCGACAUUUGAGAGGUGAAAAUUGUUAGAGGUGUCACAAGAUCUUGUGUGAUUAAAAUGCGAUAAGAUUUCUUGUUGCGAAAUGAGCAUGAGCCCGGGACGAUGAUAAAUGAAUCACACAAUAAAUGAAAAUGAGAUGACAAUUUUGCUGGCCUCAGUAUAUUGUCACGUGCAUGCGUGUCUGUUUUCCUCGUCUCUCGCCUCCAAACAUGCAGGAACAGUGUUGCCGACUUGGCGAUUUUGUUUCUAGAUCUGGCAACAUUCCAACCCCCCCUUGAAGACAUAUUUUCUCAAAAGCGACUAGCGACAAAUCUAGCAACUUUUUCUGCCGUCGUUGGGGAGUUUUCUAAUAUGGUGAAAGCAUGUAUAUAGAUCAUGAACGCAGUGAGCCCUUUUGUCAAUCAUACAGUCUCUUUGUCUCAGUGGGUGGAGGCAAAGUAAUGUUAAAAUCUCAUUCCAUCUCAUUGUCGUACACCCAAUCCCAUGUAUCAUCUCGUCUUGUGAACGGAGUGUCUCGUGACACCCCUACUAAUCAAUGAGCUUUCAAAAUGAUGCCUCGACGGUACCUUUUGAGAGAGGGAGUCAAAGAUUCCCCAGAAGAGUUUCUUGGUCAGGAGGAGCUCCUCUUCUGAAGCUAUGCCAAAGCUGCCCAUCCCAGACGGAAGGCAGUAGUACUUCCAGUUUUGCUCAUAGUGGUUGGUAAGUAGCUACAGGUUGAACAUAUAAUAAAAUGUAAAAAAAAACAAAAAAAAACACAUAUAUUUAAAAUAAAUCACGUAAAACUGUAUUAUUAAUUAUAUUGCUUCUAUCAGACAAAUGGUUUGAAAGAGGAGUGAGGGAGCCCAUCUACGUCAAAGUUGAGAACAGAGGGGGGAGGUUUACGUGUAAAUACUUUAAAUAAAUACUUUGUAUCCUGCACCAACUCCUCAGACUAAGGCUGUCCUACCUAGUGAGACUAGUGUUGUCCCACCUAGUCACUGAGCAUGAACUGAUAAAGCCUGCUCGGAUGACAGGUGAAACAACAUCGAAGACAACCUGAACAGUCCAGUUGCAAUGGAUUCAAUGCCCUGAGGAUACAAAGACCUGGACGAAUAAGAACAUUCACAAACACUGCAUCCAUCAUUUUUUAAAAGCUUUUUUGGUGACCUGUCCAAAUAUAGAGUAGUAGUUUACCAGUCCAAAGUGUAGACACACUUGCUCAUGCUAUUAAUGAGAAAUAAAAUAAUGCUUUUUACAUCCACUAUAAAAUAUUAACGCUACAAAGAAGACCCUCCCCCCUCCUUUUUCAGCAGCAUUCAAGUGAUAUCAAAAUAAUUGAUUUGAAUUGGAAUAUCAUGAAGAAAUGUCUUCUUACCCGCAGAGGUAUCUUACAGUAUUCGGUGAGCAUGGGGACAUCAAACACCAAGCGUCUGAGCAGCUGUUGCAUCAUGGAAGGCCGCAGAUGCCUAUAAAGCAAAUUCAAAUAUAUGUGAAUUUAAAAUCUAGACAGCAGGAUGAAAAGAACAGUCUCCAGGCUUGGUUGAAUUAUGGAACCCAAGGAGGGGAAGGGUUGAUUUAAGUGCAAUCAACGCUAAUGUUGUCUACAUCUACUUCUGGAUUGAAAUGCAUAUGAAAAUUCAGAUGAUGCCAAGUGAGAUACAUAUGGUGAUCUAUGGCCACUUCUACGAUAUGGCAGACUAUCUGAUAUAUUGCUGCUGUGCCAAAGUGUAAAGAAGUAUGUGCAAUGCGAGAAAAGAAGCAUAAUGAAGAUGUGCACCAAACUUCCUCCUCCAGCUUACUUGCAGAUAGCCAGCAGACACUCCUGAAUCACAUCUCUCUGGGCUUUGGUGAGGGAACGUCCUUUGGACAGCCGGUAGAUGGUUUGAAGCGUGGCGUCGAUCAGCUGUGCGUGGUGCUCCGUGCUCGCAAAUAAGGCGGCGCAGCGGGUCAGCAGAGGCAGCAGAGCUGCACCGAUGUACCUGUUCAUGGCCAACGCCGUCUCAGAGGUGCUCAGAACCUCCUGUGGCACAGAUGGUAAUACACAGGAGAUAAAGAGUCAAGACGAGUGAAGGUUCAGUGUUGGUGAUGUCAAUCAUGCAAAAUGUAAAGUCAAGGGCAGUGGAGUUUGAAAAUCUCAAUUUUCUCCUGAUGAGACUGCGGAGCAUCGUUAACGGGCAAGGAGACAAGCUGAAUAUGAAUGAGGAAAAAAAUCUAAUUUAACCAAGACUUUAUGCCUAAUGAAAACUUGGGAAAGACAUUUCUUUUCUUUUCUUUUUUGGAAAGACAUUUCAUUAGGUACACCGACACAAUCAAAACAAAUCAUGCUCAAUUUUUAAUUGAACAAAAUGUUGCUAAAUAAGGUCAUCAAAUAUUAAAAACACCUCCCAAUAUGAAUCAGUGCAGUAUUAUGAUAUUGUAAAAGUAGAAUAUUUGGUACAGGUCUCACGUGCACAUUUGGUGACGAUGUGGAGAUUCGCCUAACAUUUUUCUUCUUACUCACCGUGUCUAAGGAUGCAGCAGCUUGGAGGUCGGGCAGGAAGCCAACUUCUAACAGCUGGAGUAGGAAGCUCUGGUCCUCGAUGCCGUACACUCUGUCCAGGAAGAGCACCAUGGGGGCCUUGUGGUCCGGACAAAAACAGGCUGACAUGUCGGGUUCUGUCACUGUACCCUCUGUAGAUUAAGCACAUAUUGACUGUUUAUUUCAUAACACAUUCAUAACCACAUAUUUAGUGUAAUUUUCUCUGCACGCCCCACACACCUUUAUUAACUACAGGUUUUUUGAGCGGGAUGCUGAUGACGCCAACCAGGUCUGUGGUGGGAACCAGAGAGCGUAGAAUUGCUCGUAUACGAAGCGCCUCACCUUUACCAGCGUUGAUGAGCUACCAAAGAAACAAAAGCCUUCAAAUCCAAAAUCCAGUGUGUGUGACUAUUAUGGUUGUUUUUAUGAGCCUUUUCCUGCUCCGACUUUCAUUAUAAAGCCUCACAUGCAUCUCAGGUGCACAUCGACCCAGCAGGUCAAUGAGGGCAGAGUAGAAGGACAUGAUGGCGUUGCCCAUGUGGAUUACUUCCUCCUCUUCAUCACAAGAUCUGAAGUACACACAGAAAAUAAUCAUUACUAGUUGGAAACCAUGGAAACAAACGGAGCAAUGCAUAAUAUCAUUUGAAUUGAUGUAUUUUCUAAUACAGUCAAACUGCGGUUUAGCCCAAAUUUAGCCUGUUUUUUCGUACACUGUCUGGGUUUUCAUACAAUAUUGCGCUUAACAAACUAGUCUGUUUGUAUCAUUCCACAGAAUCGAGUGCCCAAACAAAGCAACCUAUGUGUUGGUGACUGGCUAUCCGUGCGAUUGCUAAAUAACCCGCCAUGGGGCCAAAGAAAGAGUUGCGUGUUUUGAUUUAAUAAAGAAGGUGAGAAACACUGUUGAAUUCAAGAAAUAACUCAUCGCAAAGUAUGAAGAUGGCGUUCCCAUCCCUCCUCCCCGUCUUCGCCAGCAACUGUUUUCAAUAAAAGAAGACCGCAAACCUCAAGAAGGACAGGUAGCGCUCUCCCUCUAUGGGGUUCCAGCCCAGGUCUGGGUAACCUUUAGCCACCAGCAUGGCACAACUCUGAAGACCACAUCCUGCUAGCAGAGACCUGAUCUGACCCAGUGAGGCCAGCAGGUUGAUAGCAUCCUGCACGGAUGCAGCACUGAUGGUGUAAGACUUCUUCAUUGCCCGGAGCAGUUCCCCAAUACCAUCAUACUGCCUCCUGAGCAGGCUGAACAUCACUCGGACCAGCUCGGGAUCCUGGAUGUGGGCCUCCUGGGCCCAGCUGCUUAUAGUCUGGGAGAUGAGUUCCUUCAGGUUAGCUGUGGAGGGAUUCCUGCAAAGGAGAGACUACAUUUACAUACGUACCGUAUGUGGCGCAUCGACACUGAGGUUACAGUAAGUGUAACCCUGUUGGAAAUGAAUCAUUUUCCUAUCUUCAAUCAGUGGGGACGCCAAAGCUGUCUGUGUCGAUGGACCCACCACAGUGCAGUUGCAGUUCUUCAUGGAAGCCAUUGAGUUCUUCCUGGAGCUCCUCAGGACAGGGGCAGUCAUCACCUGCAGUGAAGUUCAACAGGAUGUUGAUCUGCAGGAAACCGAGAAACGGAGUUAUGGAAAAGAAAAGUAUAACAACACAUGCUGUGAACAAGAAAGCUACUACUAUAUUUUUCUCUACUGAGGAUUACCAUGCAAACAGCAUUGGUGGCAUUUAACAAACAUCUGAAGAAACUGCAAUGCCGACAGCAUACACUUGCUGCUGACUGAACUUGUUUUUCAGGAAUCAGUGUCAGCUCGGGCUAAUUGACAAUGUGUUGGAACGUCACAGAAAGUGCAAGUUGUUUUAGAAACAACAGAACUUGUAGACUACUAUGUGGUAAGAAUAAUGAUUUUGUUUUCUUCCCAAUGAGGGAGAUGCUUGUUAAACGGUGUUGCAAGUCACUGAGUACAAAUCAGUGAGGCGAAUAAACACUUAAAGUGUCAUUCAGAUCAUAUAGUAGAAGCCACUUUGAAUGAAAAUGAACAAGGUGAUUGGCGCAUGAAGUAAAUAUUGUCACUAUCCAACUGCAUAGUGGAUAGUGGACUUAAUAAUUUUAAAAUCUUGUCAAGGCUUGAACCAUAAUUGUACAUAGACACUGAAGGGGUAUUUUAUAUAUAGCCACCAUUACAUAGGAGAAUAUUUGCACUUGAGGGUUAUUCACUAUUUAUGAGCUACUUAUUUAACUGCAUUGGCUUUUUCGGUUCCCUUAUUGUUGCCUUUAACGACCGUUUGGGUGGAUAAAUGUGGGGCAACAGCUGUAAUCUUGCAGUUAGCUCUCACAUUUGUUCACUAUUGGUCUCUAGAAAGGCAAAAGCAAAUCAUACUGUGGCCACAAUUUUGCAAAUAAACAGUCAUGUGAAAGAAUUAGGGUUGUGUAAGCUACUUCUGAAUGGCAACACAGAAAAGGUUGAAGAUUUUGCUAAAUACAGACCCUUGUAAUGGCCGUGCUAUUCUUUUGGUGCUAAACGCACCACAUGUUGGUGCUGUUAUUAAACCCCACAGGUGGGACGGCACCUGUAUGAAUGCAAAACAUGUAAUGCCAGGACCAGUGUGUGAAGUUUAACACUUCUCUUCCUCCAUCCUGUUGUGUUGAAAGUAAUGGUCACCGUCUGAAAAGUAUUUUAUACAUCACACCAGACAGGCGAGGACAUCACAAACCAAUAAUGCGUCUGGACAGUUCCUCUGUGUUCCUAUAAUUAGUAAUUCUGGUCUGCACUGGGCCGACUGGCCGAGUGGUUAGCAUGUUGGCCACACUUUCAGGAAAUCUGAAAGAUCUGAGCUUGAAUCUCCGUUGCGCAUCUCUGUGUGGAGUGUUCUCCCCGUGCGUGCGUGGGUUUUCUCCGGCUUCCUCCCACAUUCCAAAAAAAACAUGCGUGGCAGGUUACCGUAAUUGGCGACUCUAAAUUGUCCAUAGGUAUCAAUGUGAGUGUGAAUGGUUGUUUGUCUAUAUGUGCCCUGUGAUUGGCUGAUGACCAGUCCAGGGUGUACCCCGCCUCUCGCCCAAAGUCAGCUGGGAUAGGCUGCAGUCUACCAGCAUUGUGAGGAUAAGCGGUAUAGAAAAUGAAUGGAUGGUCUACACUGUGAAUUUAUAACAUUUGGGGGGCAGUUAGUUUUCUAAUGCAGGAGUCCAGGCUUUCAGUCAACUGACUGAAUUCAAUUUAGCCUUACAAGUCCAAUAUAUUCUUUGGGAAUACAAAUAAAGUUUAGGGAGUCUAGUGAAGUUCCUUGAUUUCAAUGUGUCCACUAUCUCCAUUUAUGUUGAUGUAAAUUAGCUGCCUAUACUUUUGUGUUGUACCUGCUCCUGAGGCGGUGAGCGGAACUCUUUAGUCUUCUUGGCUGUCACAGCGGCGGACAUAUUGAGCGCCUGCAUGAGCUCGUUGUAGCGGAACUUCUGGUUGUAUUGCAGCUUGGAGACAAAGUUGUCGGAGAAGGACACGAUGGUCUCGAUGCGGUGUUUCAGCUCACAGUCGCAGAAGUAAUGCAGCAGCUCGCACAUCUGACAAAAGAAAGGCAUUUAAGAAUUUGAAUAGCUAAACAAUUCUAAACUCGUUCAUAUGACUGACUCCUUGGAAA